rnacentral:lncRNA from 1 species
AUUCCGACUAUAAUUGCUAUAAUAUGAUGAGUUUGAUGCCGUUUCGAUUUUGUUCGCAGCGUGAAUGCGAUCGAGCCUUGGAUCAUCGUUAGUUGACUUAUGAGAGCUCUUGGAGACUUAUUUUGAGGUAUUACACUAGUCCCAAAACAGGGAUUUAAGGGAUUACUCAGUACUAAGUGUAAUUUAGGCCGAAAUCGGAUAUUCCGGUCGUUAUUUUGACGCGGUGUUAAUGUUUGUUUUCAGCAGGGUUGGAG